UGCUGGUCUCUGCUGGCACCGAAACAGUGGACAGUGCUGAGGGCCGGGACGCAGACUCGAGCGUCUCCUGGAGCGGGGACCCCGCUCACUGUCACAUGGGGACUUCAGCAGUUGGACCGCUACGCCUCCGCCUCCCUCCGGCCCCGGGACCUGCGCAAGCGCGACGCGCCCCCUCCCGUCCCGCCCCUUUCUUUCUGCCGCGCGGCCCCAUGGGAAUUGUAGUUCUCUGCUGCAGAGUCAACCUGAGCUCCGCCCUGACCCCGCGCCAUGAGGGACGGAGGAACUACUAAUCCUAGCAUGCAUAGCGCGGCCACGGACCCACUUUUUUUUUUUUUUUUUUUUUUCAGUACCGGGAAAACAGGAGCGUGUGAUUGGGGUUUACAGUGUUUUCUCUCGCUCUCUCUGUUUCUAGGGAAUUCGGGCUGUGUUUAGCUGCUGGAAUAUCGUAGAAUUGGUUUUCAGAGAAGUUCCUCGACUCCUGAGGCGAAACAUAAAGGGAUGGGAGUGGUGUGGGAAGUGAUCGUGUGGGGAAAAAAAAGUUUCGAGCCCGUUUCGCAUUUGUGGAGACAGAGUUUUUGGUGUGACCACUCUUUUGUGGGAAACCCAAACCAAGGAGAACUCAGGAGAAUUGGCGCUCUUCGGUCCUGGAGGUUCCGCAGCUAACAUCCCGGCUUGACCAACUAUCGAGGCCGCAAAUUAAUAGGGCACCUCCUGGGAGGAAAACGCCCAUCCUGACUUCUCAACUGUGACAGUUUGCUCUGUCGCCCAGGAUGGAGUGCAGUGCAGUGGCGCGAUCCUGCAACCUCCGCCUCUCGAGUUCAAGCGAUUCUCCUGCCUCAGCCUCCCGAGUAGCUGGGAUUACAGACGCGCGCCACCCCACCCAGAUGAUCUUUUUAAAUGCAAAAUGCCAUCGACGCAGAAAAUCAAAGAAUCAGCUUAAGUUCCAGAAAAAAGAAAAACCAACCAAAUGAACAAUAAGACAACAACAACAACAACAAAAAAGGCCUUUUGGGAUUUUGGAUGAUAUUGCAUCAAAUCCAUACAUUAACCUGAGAGACGAGCGACUUCUUCAACAUUGAGCCUUCCAAUCAUGAUUUUCAAUUCAUUUAGGUCUUCUGUAAUGUUUCUUAAUAUAAUUGUAUUUGUUGCUAUGCAGAAGUUUCACUGAUCUUUUAUUAUAUCUCUAUAUAUAUUUGAUAUUUCUGACACUAUUGUAAAUAGUAUCUUUUUAAUAUUUCAUUUUCCUUUUUUGUUGCUUAAAUAUAUAUAAAAUAAGCUAAUUUUCCAAACUAAUUUUUAUAUCCAGCAACCCUGCUAAAAUUUCUUAUCCAAUAAAAAUAUAAAUGUA
rnacentral:lncRNA from 1 species